UACGGAGGGUGCAAGCGUUAUCCGGAUUCACUGGGUUUAAAGGGUGCGUAGGUGGGCAGGUAAGUCAGUGGUGAAAUCUCCGGGCUUAACCCGGAAACUGCCAUUGAUACUAUCUGUCUUGAAUACCGUGGAGGUGAGCGGAAUAUGUCAUGUAGCGGUGAAAUGCUUAGAUAUGACAUAGAACACCAAUUGCGAAGGCAGCUCACUACGCGAAUAUUGACACUGAGGCACGAAAGCGUGGGGAGCGAACAGG
rnacentral:rRNA from 1 species